GAUUAACGCUGGCGGCGUGCAUAACACAUGCAAGUCGAACGAGUGGCGGACGGGUGAGUAAUGUAUGGGGAUCUGCCUGAUGGCGGGGGAUAACUACUGGAAACGGUAGCUAAUACCGCAUACCAUCAGAUGAACCCAUAUGGGAUUAGCUUGUAGGUGAGGUAACGGCUCACCUAGGCGACGAUCCCUAGCUGGUCUGAGAGGAUGAUCAGCCACACUGGGACUGAGACACGGCCCAGACUCCUACGGGAGGCAGCAGUGGGGAAUAUUGCACAAUGGGCGCAAGCCUGAUGCAGCCAUGCCGCGUGUAUGAAGAAGGCCUUCGGGUUGUAAAGUACUUUCAGUCGGGAGGCGUUACCGACAGAAGAAGCACCGGCUAACUCCGUGCCAGCAGCCGCGGUAAUUC
rnacentral:rRNA from 1 species